rnacentral:rRNA from 1 species
GACGAACGCUGGCGGCGUGCCUAAUACAUGCAAGUCGAACGAGAGCGACCGGUGCUUGCACUGGUCAAUCUAGUGGCGAACGGGUGAGUAACACGUGGGUAACCUGCCCAUCAGAGGGGGAUAACAUUCGGAAACGGAUGCUAAAACCGCAUAGGUCUUCGAGCUGCAUGGCUUGAAGAGGAAAAGAGGCGCAAGCUUCUGCUGAUGGAUGGACCCGCGGUGCAUUAGCUAGUUGGUGAGGUAAUGGCUCACCAAGGCCGUGAUGCAUAGCCGACCUGAGAGGGUGAUCGGCCACAUUGGGACUGAGACACGGCCCAAACUCCUACGGGAGGCAGCAGUAGGGAAUCUUCCGCAAUGGACGCAAGUCUGACGGAGCAACGCCGCGUGAGUGAAGAAGGUUUUCGGAUCGUAAAACUCUGUUGUUAGAGAAGAACAAGUGC